rnacentral:rRNA from 1 species
AACGUAGGAGGCAAGCGUUUAUCCGGAGUUACUGGGCGUAAAGCGCAUGUAGGCGGUUGGGCAAGUGGCGAGUGAAAGCUCCCGGCUAAACUGGGAGAGGACACGUCAGACUGCCGGCUAGAGGUCGGGUAGAGGGCGGCAGAAUUCGGGGUGGUAGCGGUGAAAUGUGUAGAGAUCCGAGGAAUACCAGUGGUGAAGACGGCGCCCUGGGCCGAUACUGACGCUGAGAUGCGAAAGCGUGGGGGAGCAACGGG